GAGCAGCUGCUUGGCUGCAGCAGGAGAGGAAGCGGCUGGCAGCCGCACUGGCUGGGGACCCAUCAUCGGAACUGGGUCAGCUCAGCUCUGUGGAGAGAGCACAGCGCCAGCCUGCAGACAGACGCAGCACAGAGCCCGGAAGCAGCGGGCAGCCUGGGGGCGGCAAGGGCAGCAGAGCUGGGCAGCAAUCAGCUGCGGCUGCCAGGCCCGGGGAGAACCAGGGUGGGCGGAGAGAAGUUCGCAGCUUGGACACGCCUAGAACCAAGGCCUACUGGAAAAAGAAAAUGCAUUUAUGUGAAGAAAUUAGUCUCAUACCUAUUUCCAUACCAAUUAUAAAAUAGGAGAACUUAAACCCAGAAGAUGCAAGGGAUAGAUGAAUGAGUUGAACGGUAGAAAGCAAAGUAAAUAAAUAAAUUCUGUGACUCACAAAAGAGAAAAUAAAAACAGGAAGAGAAUAAGAGUUCACCAAGAAGCAAGCCCUCCCUGCAAACCAGCACCAUGUACAGGCUGCUGCCAGUUGGGGAAUGCCUGACCCCAGCCCCUUCCUGCACCUGGGCUGGGCAAGAAGAGCCAGCCCCACGCCACACACACCAUCAGCGACUGGCUGAUCCAGAGAAACAAAGGCUGCAAAGACAGCUGUGGAGGUGAGAUGCAGUUGGAUACCGGUGGUGUCUGGUGUUUCACUGACCUUGCAGGUCUCUGGCCGGUGGUCUGAUCACCUACUCGGAGGAUAACAGUGCACAGUGUGGCAUCUAUGGGGAUCUCCUUCUCAGGGUGGUAGCCAUUAUUAAUUCCCUAUUAUCUUGUUUUGAAGCCCUGUAUCAUUCUCAUUGUCUUGUUGGGUUGGAUUAUAUUCUGUUUUGGUUUUUUGAAUCUGUUAUAUCCAAUGACAUGAACAGCUAUGUCAAAGAUAGCCAGAUAUAUUCUGGUAGCCAUUUUGGACUUACUAUUGUCUUGAUUUGAAGUCCUUCAUUGCAUUUAUUGUUUUGUUUUUAUUGGUUCUGUUCUGUUCUGUUUAGUUUGAUUUUUUCUAUGUCCAAACAUAUCUGCAGCUAUUUGGAAGAAAAUAAGAGGCAAUAUGGUAAUCAUUGUUGAUUUCAUAUUGUUUUAAAGUCCUGUGUCACUUAUACUGGUUUGUUUUGAUUGGUUUUGUUCUGUUUUGUUUUACUUGGUUUUAUUCACUUUAAAAUAAAAAAAUUAAAAACAAA